GCGAGGAGGUUGGGGCUCAGGCGUGCUGCCUGGGAGGAUGCGCUCUGCCUCUUCCUCGCAAAGCAAAAGGAACAUGUGCAGUGCGGAGGACGGCUGCUGGGCAACGAUACCUGCACCUGGUGCUCUACCCAGCAUGGACCGUCAAGUUGCUGGGAUUGGUGGUGGGUGUGUCUCCAUCUGCUAAUACAUUGGUCAUACCUUGGUAUAUAUGCUUGGCACUAUUUGGAGUCAAAAUUACGAACGUCCACUGCCGAUCUAUUUGGUAUUUUGGUGCAUGUCUUCCCCCGGCCCAGCCAUACUAUUUAUCUGUGACGUGUGCGCUAGCACUGCUGACAACACCCCUUUGGAUCCGUGGCAACUGGCAUCCUUGCAAACCUCCUGAAUAUUUCAAGCCCGUGAGGAAAGCAUCUUGGUGGUGGCUACAACGAUUUCCCCAUCAUGUCAUCCCUCUCUCUAUGUGCUUCUCUCCAUGGACAGCAUCGCCAUGGCCAGAUCGAUCAUUAAAGCCCUAGUAUUUUCCCUUGAUUAAGUUCAGAAGAUGCCAUACGGCGGCAGUAGUUUGCCAAAUUACCUGAUGGAUCGAUUCAUGAUUAAAACCAUGAAAAAGCGCAGUGUAGUCAGCACACAAUGGUGCCAUCAUCAAGUACUGUUGGUAUUUUUUUUUUGAAAAAUCAUGUUCCUGCUGUCCUAUGCCUCCCUUCUUAAUUUGUUCCUUACUGGGAGUUUCAGCUACGAAUGAAGCACAACAAAGACGACGAUAAUAUGUGUGAGCAUCUCUAGAAUUUUUUGUGUACCAAGUUAUUGAAAAAUUGUCAUUCUUUAAACCUUGCUGUCGCCUCUUCCUCUGUCCCUGAUCUACCUGUCUUGUGCUGUUUUGGCUUUGCAGCGUUCCUGGCAAGUACAUAGGUCUGGAUUUGGUGGCUUCGGCUCACACAUAUGGAGCAGGAUGGGGUGACAAAGUAGGGUGGGGUGAAGAUUCCUGUCCGGCGACUUUCGCGUGUUGUGGCUAGCAGCGCUCCACUUCUUUCUCCCCCUGGUUUGUAAUUUCAGAUUGCCGACUACCUUUCAUUGGUGUAUAUGCAAGCUACCGAGCCUGCACUUUUGUAGACUAUUCUUGACUAGAAUAUGUAUAUGAAUGUGAGCAACAGAGUUCUUUACUCCUAGAAAAUGCACGCGCCAAUGAAAUUCAGGGGCUCAUUGGUCGCUUGGCCUGCUUUUGGUAUAUCAAUGAGGAUAUCCCUGACAUAAAUUCGUUUAGUGACAGUCUUGGAGAGAAAUUUACUAUUGUCGAUGCAUACACUCAUCCGGGGUAGAAUCUGAUCUCGAGUAAGCAUUGUGCUCCACCAGAAGAAAAAACUAUGGAGCAUCUGGAUGUCUUAAUCCUAACAUUCAGUAGGUUGUUGAGUGUUUGCUUGCUUAUUUCUUUAUUUUGCAUUGCUAUUGACGUGUGUCCAUAGGCGCUGAUUGUUUCUCGAUUUCACAUUUCAUAGGGAGUGCACUUUGUUUGAUGCCUUGAAAGAGCAGUAUAUUGGGCAUCAUGAGAUAGUCAUCCAGAGUUUGGUCAGAUUUGAACUGAUUUGGCUUACAAUUUGUAAUUUUGCAAUCAGCUUUCCUACAAGACCUUCUGGAUGGUUGGCUUGGUUGUCCGGAUCAGCUUUAUAUGGGGAAACCAUAUUCCAACAGUAAAAUUGAUAAAAUUGAAGUAGCAAGGUAUUUCUUUGCUUAUUUGGUUGCUUCUCUUUCUACAACUUUCUUACUGAAGGAACAGAACAGAAGGCCUUACUGUUACGGCAAUGGUAUUUGAUUAAGUAUAUCACCAUCAUCAUCAUCAUGCUGCUAAAUUCAUAGUCUUGAACUUUGAUUGUUUGUUAUACGGUAUAGAAUAGUGAAGUCAAACAGUUAAUUCAGCACUGCUCCUCCACGUUAGAAUUAACCAUUGGGGCUUUUGAUAGAGGUGAUUUUGUUUAGAUAAUUAGUCUAGGGAGUAACCUUUUGAUCGAUAAGGCACAUGUUUAUUUGCUUUUUCAUUCAGGGAUACACUAAAGUAACCAUCACCAUCAGCUAAAAGUAGGCAUACAAAACAUGAAAAUUUUGCCUUGGAUGUAUGCCUCACUUAGUUGUCGCUCAUUUAUUUCAAGGAAGUUAUUCGUCGAGCUUUCUUAUGCUUCCAGUUUCUAA